GGGGAAUAUUGCACAAUGGAGGAAACUCUGAUGCAGCAACGCCGCGUGAGUGAUGAAGGUCUUCGGAUUGUAAAACUCUGUCUUAUGGGACGAUAAUGACGGUACCAUAGGAGGAAGCCACGGCUAACUACGUGCCAGCAGCCGCGGUAAUACGUAGGUGGCAAGCGUUGUCCGGAUUUACUGGGCGUAAAGGAUGUGUAGGCGGAUAUUUAAGUGAGAUGUGAAAUCCCCGGGCUUAACUUGGGGGCUGCAUUUCAAACUGGAUGUCUAGAGUGCAGGAGAGGAAAGCAGAAUUCCUAGUGUAGUGGUGAAAUGCGUAGAGAUUAGGAAGAAUACCAGUGGCGAAGGCGGUUCUCUGGACUGUAACUGACGCUGAGGCACGAAAGCGUGGGUAGCAAAC
rnacentral:rRNA from 1 species